rnacentral:rRNA from 1 species
AUGUACAUGCAUACAAUGUUAAUGCACUAGAUCCCAUUAUAACUUUGUAGUUAAGUGUGCUUGGGUUAGAGUAGUACUACGAUGGGUGAGAUCCUCAGAAUUCCUAGUGUUUUACAUG